AACGUAGGUACCGAGCGUUAUCCGGAUUUACUGGGCGUAAAGCGCGUUCAGGCGGUCUGGCAAGUCGGGCAUGAAAUCUCUCGGCUCAACCGGGAGGGGUUGUCCGAUACUGCUGGACUUGAGGGCAGGAGAGGGUGGUGGAAUUCCGGGUGUAGUGGUGAAAUGCGUAGAGAUCCGGAGGAACACCAGUGGCGAAGGCGGCCACCUGGCCUGCACCUGACGCUGAAACGCGAAAGCUAGGGGAGCGAACGGGAUUAGAAACCCCCGUAGUCC
rnacentral:rRNA from 1 species